rnacentral:rRNA from 1 species
CACGUAGUUAGCCGGGGCUUCUUAGUCAGGUACUGUCAUUUUCUUCCCUGCUGAUAGAAGUUUACAUACCGAAAUACUUCUUCCUUCACGCGGCGUCGCUGCAUCAGGGUUUCCCCCAUUGUGCAAUAUUCCCCACUGCUGCCUCCCGUAGGAGUUUGGGCCGUGUCUCAGUCCCAAUGUGGCCGUUCACCCUCUCAGGCCGGCUACUGAUCGUCGCCUUGGUGAGCCCUUACCUCACCAACCAGCUAAUCAGACGCGGGUCCAUCUCAUACCACCGGAGUUUUUCACACUGUCCCAUGCGAGACCGUGCGCUUAUGCGGUAUUAGCAGUCAUUUCUAACUGUUAUCCCCCUGUACUGAGGCAGGUUACCCACGCGUUACUCACCGUCCGCCACUCAGUCAAAUAAGACUUCAAACCGAAGUAAUCCGUCUUAAGUGCUUCGUCGACUUGCAUGUGUUAAGCUACGCCGCCAGCCGUUCACUCCUGUACGCCGAGGACUACAAACCUCUCCGU